UAAAAAAAACAAAAAUUUCUCUCAUAACCUCUCCCCCCUCCAGGCACCGGUCUAGCUCCGGCCAAGGUCCGGUCGUCCGCCGCCUCGCCGGCCGCCGGUGACCGGCAACGGCGUCGCCUUGCGCUGUUGUCGGAAAAUUCAAAACCCCCUCUUUUCACUCCUUUUUUCGAGGAGAGCCCAGAUUUGGGUCAAAAACACCGAGAUUUUGGCAACAAUCAGGCCAAAAACGAGGUUUUCUCUUCCUUUCGGCGACCGAGGUGAACGUGGAGUACGGCGCGCGUGGAGAAGGCCGGUUCCGAGAUGUGCGGCGGCGAAGGACUUUGCUCCUAGGGUUUCUUAGUUUUUAGUUUUUUGUUGGGCUAGGGUUUAGGUGUUAAUUUUAAAAUUAGUUUUUUUAGCCGGGCCAAAAUUGGGCUAUUACAAACAUCAUACAACUUCACGUUUUCCACGUUAAUAUCGUUUUAUUGCUUCAAAAUACAAUAUUCUGAAUCAUAUAAAUGUAAACAACAGGAAGGAUUAUGUUGGAUUUAUUUA